GACGAACGCUGGCGGCGCGCCUAACACAUGCAAGUCGAACGGGGCUUAGAGAAGCUGUCUUUUCUGAGCUUAUUGGCGAACGGGUGAGUAACGCGGGAUUAACCUGCCCUGGAGUGGGGGACAACAGUUGGAAACGACUUCUAAUACCGCAUAAUCCCACGAUCCGGCAUCGGAUUGAGGGAAAAGGAUUUAUUCGCUUCAGGAUGGACUCGCGUCCAAUUAGCUAGUUGGUGAGGUAACGGCCCACCAAGGCGACGAUUGGUAGCCGGACUGAGAGGAUGAACGGCCACACUGGGACUGAGACACGGCCCAGACUCCUACGGGAGGCAGCAGUGGGGGAUAUUGCACAAUGGGGGAAAGCCUGAUGCAGCGAUGCCGCGUGGAUGAAGAAGGUUUUAGGAUUGUAAACUCCUGUCGUGAGGGACGAUAAUGACGGUACCUAACAAGAAAGCACCGGCUAACUACGUG
rnacentral:rRNA from 1 species